rnacentral:rRNA from 2 species
UUGCUUUAUGCAGUCGAGCGAAUGAUGAGGAGCUUGCUCCUCUGAUUUAGCGGCGGACGGGUGAGUAACACGUGGGUAAUCUGCCUGUAAGACGGGGAUAACUCCGGGAAACCGGGGCUAAUACCGGAUAAUAAGAGAAGAAGCAUUUUUUCUUUUUGAAAGUCGGCAUCUCGCUGACACUUACAGAUGAGCCCGCGGCGCAUUAGCUAGUUGGUGAGGUAACGGCUCACCAAGGCGACAAUGCGUAGCCGACCUGAGAGGGUGAUCGGCCACACUGGGACUGAGACACGGCCCAAACUCCUACGGGAGGCAGCAGUAGGGAAUCUUCGGCAAUGGGCGAAAGCCUGACCGAGCAACGCCGCGUGAGCGAUGAAGGCCUUCGGGUCGUAAAGCUCUGUUGUUAGAGAAGAACAAGUACGAGAGUAACUGCUCGUACCUUGACGGUACCUAACCAGAAAGCCACGGCUAACUACGUGCCAGCAGCCGCGGUAAUACGUAGGUGGCAAGCGUUAUCCGGAAUUAUUGGGCGUAAAGCGCGCGCAGGCGGUCUCUUAAGUCUGAUGUGAAAGCCCACGGCUCAACCGUGGAGGGUCAUUGGAAACUGGGAGACUUGAGUGCAGGAGAGAAAAGUGGAAUUCCACGUGUAGCGGUGAAAUGCGUAGAGAUGUGGAGGAACACCAGUGGCGAAGGCGGCUUUUUUGGCCUGUAACUGACGCUGAGGCGCGAAAGCGUGGGGAGCAAACAGGAUUAGAUACCCUGGUAGUCCACGCCGUAAACGAUGAGUGCUAGGUGUUGGGGGGUUCCACCCUCAGUGCUGAAGUUAACACAUUAAGCACUCCGGCCUGGGGAGUACGACCGCAGGUUGAAACUCAAAGGAAUUGACGGGGCCCGCACAAGCAGUGAGCAUGUGGUUUAAUUUCGAGCACGCGAAGAACCUUACCAGGUCUUGACAUCUCUGACCACUCUAGAGAUAGAGCUUUCCCUCGGGGACAGAGUGACAGUGUGCAUGAUUGUCGUCAGCUCGUGUCUGAGAUGUUGGGCUAAGUUC